rnacentral:rRNA from 1 species
AACGUAGGACGCAAGCGUUAUCCGGAGUUACUGGGCGUAAAGGGCAGGCAGGCGGGUCGAUAAGUCGGAUGUGAAAUCUCCCUGGCUUAACCGGGGAGAGUGCAUUUGAGACUGUCAACCUGGAGGGCAGCAGAGGAGCGUGGAAUCCGGGUGGAGUGGUGAAAUGCGUAGAGAUCCGGAGGAACACCAGAGGCGAAGGCGGCUUCCUGGACCGACACUGACGGCUGAGGCGCGAAAGCUAGGGGAGCAAACGGG